AGCUUUGCGCAGUGGCAGUAUCGUAGCCAAUGAGGUUUAUCCGAGGCGCGAUUAUUGCUAAUUAAAAAUCUCAUAGGAAUUUGUUUGCUCUUGCUUUUUUGAGUACCCAUGUAAUGUAAGAGCUUCAAUUUUGCCUCUUGCCUGCAA